ensembl:snoRNA small nucleolar RNA, C/D box 71
UGUGCAGUUGGAGGAUGAAGCUGUAGAGUGAUCCAUCGGCAGAGUGCCCUGUCACAAUGCUGACACUCAAGCUGCUGACAACGCACG